rnacentral:rRNA from 1 species
UACGUAGGGUGCAAGCGUUGUCCGGAAUUAUUGGGCGUAAAGAGCUCGUAGGCGGUCUGUCGCGUCUGCUGUGAAAACUCAGGGCUUAACCCUGAGCUUGCAGUGGGUACGGGCAGACUAGAGUGCGGUAGGGGAGACUGGAAUUCCUGGUGUAGCGGUGAAAUGCGCAGAUAUCAGGAGGAACGCCGGUGGGCGAAGGCGGGUCUCUGGGCCGUAACUGACGC